GGCUUCUGCCAUGAUUGUGAGGCCUCCCCACCUACGUGGAACUGCCGUUGAGUUCAGCUUAUGGUGAUGGAAAGAGAGAUGUCAAUAAUUCCACAUUUUCUGGCUUGCAUUGUUUGAUGAAAGGUGACCCCAUUCCCUGAGUUAAAGAAUGCUGAAAGAAGACCAGGCUUGAGGAGGAAGGAUCAUGCAUUUGCUUUUGGACCUGUAGAGUUUGAGGGCAGAGCUGAAGAAGCAGUGCAAGUCCAUUUGAAGACCUCUGGAAGGAAACCCCCAGCGGCUCUUUUUUCACUGAACAAGCAUUGUGGGAAUUUGGGGCUCGGCUGUGUAAUUUGUCCUCUUCUCAUUCAUUCAGGACAUGUUCAGCACCAGGAGGAAUUUGCAUCCAAGUCCGUCUCCCUGCUAAGUGGUAUUUUGAGAAUUCCGAAGCUUAGUCUCAGAGAAGAGCUGACCUGAACUUGCCGAGGCUCCCACUGCAUUGUAGCUUUUCUCUGGAGAACAAAAACUGCCAUUGUCCAGCAGCUCAUUAGCAUGACUGUACAGCCUCCGGAGUUAGCAAGGUGAUGCAAAAAUAAUAUGACAAGAUCCAUGUCUUCAAUGAGCUACAAUCCUACUGGGACAUGAGACUGUGCUUAUAAUAUGAUGAAAGAAUAAGAAAAUUUUAAAGCUAUAACAGGCAGAGCACAAGAACAAGCAGAGCUAUAACAAGCAGAGCACAAGAAGGAAGAGUGCAGAUCCAGGACUGGGACACUUAACCAAUAAUAAUACAAAUAAUGAAAACACAGCAGCAACAGGUGCCAUUUUGGAAGCAAGAAGCAGAGAACAAGCUCUCACUGGGCAUUAAAUCUGCCGGCAUCUUGAUCUUGAACUUCUCAACCUCCAGAACUCUGAGAAAUAAAUUUCUAUUAUUUACAAAUUA
ensembl:lncRNA novel transcript